GACGAACGCUGGCGGCGUGCUUAACACAUGCAAGUCGAACGGAAAGGUCCGGCUUUUGUGGGGUCGUCGAGUGGCGAACGGGUGAGUAACACGUGAGUUACCUGUCCCUGACUUUGGGAUAACCUCAUGACACUUGGGCUAAUACCGGAUAGGAGUUCCUGCCGCAUGGUGGGGGCUGGAAAGAUUAGGUGGUUGGGGGUGUAAUCGCGUAUUAUCAGCUUGUUGGUGGGGUAGUGGGAUAGCAAGGUCUUGACGGGUAGCCGGCCUGGGAGGGUGACCGGCCACGUUAGAACUGGGAUGCGGCACAGACUCGUACGGGAGGCGGCGGUGGGGAAGAGUACACAAUGGAAGGGAGCCUAAUGCAGCAACGCCGCGUGCGGGAUGACGGCCUUCGGGUUGUAAUCCGAAUUCGCCUGUGACGAAGCGUGAAUGACGGUAAUGGGUAAAGAAGCACCGGCUAACUACGUG
rnacentral:rRNA from 1 species